CAAUAGCGUAUAUUAAAGUUGUUGCAGUUAAAAAGCUCGUAGUUGGAUUUCUGGUGGGAGCGAUCGGUCUGGCGCUUAGCGCGAGUACUUGCAUCGUCUCCGGCCAUCUUGGGGAGAGUCUGUCUGGCAUUAGGUUGUCGGGCAGAGGAUCCUCAUCGUUUACUGUGAAAAAAUUAGAGUGUUCAAAGCAGGCUUAUGCCGUUGAAUAUAUUAGCAUGGAAUAAUAAGAUAGGACUUUGGUACUAUUUUGUUGGUUUGCGCACCAAAGUAAUGAUUAAUAGGGACAGUUGGGGGUAUUCGUAUUCCGUUGUCAGAGGUGAAAUUCUUGGAUUUACGGAAGACGAACUACUACGAAAGCAUUUACCAAGGAUGUUUUCAUUAA
rnacentral:rRNA from 1 species